rnacentral:rRNA from 1 species
UGGUGGCGAUAGCGAAGAGGUCCCACCCGUUCCCAUACCGAACACGGAAGUUAAGCUCUUUAGCGCCAAUGGUAGUUGGGACUUUGUCCCUGUGAGAGUAGGACGUUGCCA